GAUGAACGCUGGCGGCGUGCCUAACACAUGCAAGUCGAGCGAUUUACUUCGGUAAAGAGCGGCGGACGGGUGAGUAACGCGUGGGUAACCUGCCCUGUACACACGGAUAACAUACUGAAAGGUAUGCUAAUACGGGAUAACAUAAGAGAGUCGCAUGGCUUCUUAUCAAAGCUUUUGCGGUACAGGAUGGACCCGCGUCUGAUUAGCUAGUUGGUAAGGUAACGGCUUACCAAGGCGACGAUCAGUAGCCGACCUGAGAGGGUGAUCGGCCACAUUGGAACUGAGACACGGUCCAAACUCCUACGGGAGGCAGCAGUGGGGAAUAUUGCACAAUGGGCGAAAGCCUGAUGCAGCAACGCCGCGUGAGCGAUGAAGGCCUUCGGGUCGUAAAGCUCUGUCCUCAAGGAAGAUAAUGACGGUACUUGAGGAGGAAGCCCCGGCUAACUACGUGCCAGCCGCCGCGGUAA
rnacentral:rRNA from 1 species